rnacentral:rRNA from 1 species
CCCUAUGGGGUGCCGCAGGCAGGGUAUCCCAAACUUCAUCGGGUCCAUAGAUGCUGUUGAGCAGGAAGGUGCCGACCUUGCGCGCGUAUUUGACGAGGUCAAUCCGGUCCACGCAGCUGACCUGGUGGCAGGCCAGGAAAUUGGCCUCCCCUUCGGAGAUGACAUAAGGAGCUUCAAUCUCAUCCGGACCAAAACGCAGGUGGGAUACCGUCAGUGAACCAGAUUUCUUGGAGUCGUACUCGAAAUAGCCCUGGGCGAAGUUGUUGGUCUCAUCACCAAUAAUCUUGAUGGAGUUUUUGUUCGCGCCCACGGUGCCAUCGGAGCCCAGGCCAAAGAACAUGGCCUGCACCACGUUUUCGGGCAGGAUUUCAAAGGUGUGGUCGUACUCAAUGCUGAGGUUGGUGACAUCAUCAAUGAUGCCGACGGUGAAUGGGCGGGAGGGC